rnacentral:rRNA from 1 species
CCAAUAGCGUAUAUUAAAGUUGUUGCAGUUAAAAAGCUCGUAGUUGAAUUUCGGGAUCAGUACGCUGGUCAUGCCUUUGGUAUGUACUGGUGUCACUGGUUUCUCCCUUCUGAAGAACCGUGAUGUCAUUAAUUUGGUGUCGCGGGGAAUCAGGACUGUUACUUUGAAAAAAUUAGAGUGUUUAAAGCAGGCUCACGCUU